ACACACAACAUUUUUGUUGAGUAUAUUGUGGUAUAUUGUGUAAUGCUUACAUUUGCAUUUGAUUUGAGGUUAUGUGUUUUGCUUUAUAUCGUAGUUUGAUCGAAAUGCAGCAUAGUAACAAAACCGUGCAGCUUCUGCUGAAAAUAACGUUGUUUUGUUUUGCAGACGAAAUCGAUGGCUUAUGUCUGAUCAUCUUUUGUGGAUUAUAGCUGUUAUCCACUCAAGCUAAUAGAGACCACUCAAGCUUACUCGGGCAAGAUGACCUAUGGGUUGAUAGAAGGUACAAGCACUUCUGUAAUUGGAUGGAAAAGGAGUAUCUUCACUAUUAUAAGUAAUUGCUGCAACUGUUAAGAGAUGGAAUUACGGCCACAAAGAAGGCUAAGGGGAAGAAGGAUACAAUAUCAUUAGGUGCAAACUAAUGAUUAUAGCUUUUAUUUAUAUUUUAUUAUAGCUUUUGAGUGUAAACUAGAAUGUGAGGUUUUCUCUAAGUGUGAUAGUACUAAUACAUAUUGCAAUAUAAGUAUUUUUUUUUAUUUAAGAAUCAUUCUUUAGUUCAAUGAAGUUUAAUUAUAUUA